rfam:Rattus norvegicus chromosome 7, whole genome shotgun sequence.
GGGGAUUUAGCUCAGUGGUAGAGCGUUUGCCUAGCAAGCGCAAGGCCUUGGGUUCGGUCCCCAGCUCCG